rnacentral:rRNA from 1 species
AUUGAACGCUGGCGGCAUGCCUUACACAUGCAAGUCGAACGGCAUCGCGGGAAAGCUUGCUUUCCUGGCGGCGAGUGGCGAACGGGUGAGUAACACAUCGGAACGUACCGGCUAGUGGGGGAUAACCCGUCGAAAGACGGGCUAAUACCGCAUACGCUCUUCGGAGGAAAGCAGGGGACCUUUGGGCCUUGCGCUAGCCGAGCGGCCGAUGUCCGAUUAGCUAGUUGGUGGGGUAAAGGCCUACCAAGGCGACGAGCGGUAGCGGGUCUGAGAGGACGAUCCGCCACACUGGGACUGAGACACGGCCCAGACUCCUACGGGAGGCAGCAGUGGGGAAUCUUGGACAAAGGGGGCAACCCUGAUCCAGCAAUGCCGCGUGGGUGAAGAAGGCCUUCGGGUUGUAAAGCCCUUUCGGCAGGGAAGAAAUCGGCGGGGCGAAUACCCCUGCUGGAUGACGGUACCUGCAGAAGAAGCACCGGCUAACUACGUG